rnacentral:lncRNA from 1 species
CAGGGACCCUGCUGCCCGCACAUUGUACUAAUAUUAGUUACCUAUCAGCAGCCCUCCCCUUAUGAGGGGCGAUGGAUUUACCCUGUUGCCUGGAGACCAGACUCAAACAGAGACCCAGAGAGAGCACCGGGCGCUGGCUCCAGAGGGGUUAAGAACGAGUCCUGGAGCAGAUAACUCCUGGAAUGGAUAAUGGAGCCGAGUAAUCCCAGGAAAGUGAAGCCUCAGCUCGAGCUGGGGGGAGAUGACAGGAAGAAGGCAGCGUCUGUGGACCCCCUCCCCAGAUUUGGAGCUGUGGAAGCAGAAACAAGAGAAGAUACACAGACCCACAAGACUCCUGAGUCUUGGUCUCAAGGUGGGGGGGAUCCUUUCCGGGCCCUGGAAGAUGCAAGCCUGUCUUUUAUCAGCCACAUGGCGAGACCACCAUACUUUAAAUUAGUCAAUAUGAGUCAAAUUCUACAUGGCUAAUCAGCCCUGCUCUUAAUCCUUUUAACCUUCUAAGAUCUUAACAAAAGAAGGAAAGUCCAGACUCAGUUUAAU